UUCUCUGUGGUCCACUGGUUAAGAUUCUGAGCUUCUGAUGCAGGGGGUGCAGGUUCGAUUCCUGGCAGAGGAA
rfam:Ovis aries breed Texel chromosome 7, whole genome shotgun sequence.